AGCGGAGGGAUCAUUAACGAGUUAUUAACUCCAUAAAACCCUAUGUGAACUUUACCUAGUUGCCUCGGCGUGAGCCCGCGCUUGCUCCGGAGCCGCCAUGCGCGGCCCCGGGCGGCGCACCUACGGCCCGCCAGAGGACCGCUAAACUCUUGUUUAUACUGAUGGAACUCUGAAUUCUUAACUAAAUAAGUUAAAACUUUCAACAACGGAUCUCUUGGUUCUGGCAUCGAUGAAGAACGCAGCGAAAUGCGAUAAGUAAUGUGAAUUGCAGAAUUCAGUGAAUCAUCGAAUCUUUGAACGCACAUUGCGCCCAUUAGUAUUCUAGUGGGCAUGCCUAUUCGAGCGUCAUUUCAACCCUUAAGCCUUAGUUGCUUAGCGUUGGGAGGCUACGUCUUCCGGGGCGUACCUCCUUAAAGUGAUUGGCGGAGUCGGGUCGUGCUCUAAGCGUAGUAAACAUAUAUCCUCGCUUCUGUAGCUCGCUCGGCGGCCUGCCGUAAAACCCCUAUAACUUCUAGUGGUUGACCUCGGAU
rnacentral:rRNA from 1 species